rnacentral:rRNA from 1 species
UACGUAGGGUGCGAGCGUUAAUCGGAAUUACUGGGCGUAAAGCGUGCGCAGGCGGUUCGUUGUGUCGGCGGGGAAAGCCCCGGGCUCAACCCUGGAAUGCCGGUGGAAACUGCCGGGCUGGAGUCCGGAAGAGGCGAGUGGAAUUCCUGGUGUAGCGGUGAAAUGCGCAGAUAUCAGGAGGAACACCAAUGGCGAAGGCAGCUCGCUGGGACGGUACUGACGCUGAGGAGCGAAAGCCAGGGGAGCAAACGGG